GCCGGUGUAGCUCAGGGGUAGAGCGUUUCCUUGGUAAGGAAAAGGUCACGGAUUCGAAUUCCGUCAUUGGCU
rnacentral:tRNA from 1 species